AGUUGAUCCUGGCUUAGGAUGAACGCUAGCGGCAGGCUAACACAUGCAAGUCGAGGGGCAGCGCGAGUAGCAAUACUUGGCGGCGACCGGCGCAAGGGUGCGUAACGCGUGAGCAACAUGCCCGUAUCAGGGGGAUAAUCCAGGGAAACUUGGUCUAAUACCCCAUAGUAAUUUUGUAAGGCAUCUUAUAAGAUUUAAAGCUUUGGUGGAUACGGAUUGGCUCGCGUGACAUUAGCUGGAUGGUAAGGUAACGGCUUACCAUGGCUAUGAUGUCUAGGGGUUCUGAGAGGAAGGUCCCCCACACUGGAACUGAGACACGGUCCAGACUCCUACGGGAGGCAGCAGUGAGGAAUAUUGGACAAUGGAUGGAAAUCUGAUCCAGCCAUGCCGCGUGAAAAGGAAGAAGGUCCUAUGGAUUGUAAACUUCUUUUGUAUGGGAGCAAUAAGGCCUACGAGUAGGUUGAUGAGAGUACCAUACGAAUAAGCACCGGCUAACUCCGUGCCAGCCGCGGC
rnacentral:rRNA from 1 species